ACGUGUGUUUAUCCAGUGCUGAGUGACUGAUGAAGGAAUGCUGCCAUCAAAGGCUCUCAGGACCCCAAUCCCCCUGCAGCUACCUGGAGAAAAGACACUGGUUGUGACAACUGCGGAGAUCAAACCAGCAACCUUCUGCUUACCAAUCCAGUUCACUACACCACAAACGUAACGAAGGAAAGUUAUGGAUAAUGCAGUAAAUUAAUUAUUAAAUACAAUAAACAUGAUUUUAGUUAAACAUUUAUUUACUAAGUUGUAAAGAGUAUUAAUAAAAGACAGAACACAGUCACUGCUCUUUAGUGUACAUAAUUUCUCUUGGUGAGUGGCCAGUACUUUCUGUGGACAGUGACAAUUAUUUAUUAAUAUUUGACUGCUGAAUUUACCUACUAUAAUAAGAAAAUAAGUAAGAAUAUCAGAAUUCUAAAAUUAUUGUUGUAAUAACCAUAGUCGUAUUAUUAUUAUUAACAUGUCGCAUGUCGCUUGGCCAUUCCUAGGGUGUCAAGCCAGGUCCUGUCAAUAGAAUGGUGAUUCUGCAAGACAUAAAGAGAGGAAACUUGCUGAGGGAUUAAGACUACAUCCAAAAUAGUGUUUCCACAUCUGGGAUAAAGGCAGUCAUAAGACCCCAGCGGAACGAUGAGGAUAUGCUCUUCAAAAAAUGAAACCUGCCUGAAUAAUGAGGGAAGAAAUGUGCAUGAUUGCGUGAUUUGUAAAUAAAUAUUAUGGACAUUUAGUGUAACUCUCAGCCUGUUAUUUUAAGUUUAAAGAAAAGUAAAAUCAUUUAUUGUUGCAUUGCUGUUUGAGACAAUAAAUGUUUUUUGUACCUUAAUUCAUUAUAUUGCAGAUGUGUGCAAAUAAAACUUGUUUUGAAUAUUCUGGUUGCAUUUCAGUGUUACUGUACAGCAUUUUAUUAGUAUUGCACUUCGGUUGUAUUGAAUUGUACUUCAGUUUUAUAUUGCAGUACUGCAGUUUUAUUGCAGUAUAAUUGUAGUACUAGGCUACUUCAGCUAUAUUGCAGUAAUACUGUGGU